UCCACUGAAUCCCUACUCUCCUAAACCCUUCUCCCAACACUCGACGCUCUCAAAUCCUCAUCUCCCAAAACCCUUCUCUCCUCCCUACAAAAACUGACUGACCCUCUCUCUCUCUCUCUUUGUUUAUUGAGGUUUGGUGGUGUUUUCGUAGGGUGUAUAGCAAUGUAGAUGGGAAAAUAACAAGAGAGGAAGUGCAAGAGGUGAGGAUUUUUCUUCUCUUCUUCCAUAUGUAGCCAUGGCGAGUGCUUCUACGAAUAAGCUAUUGAAGUUGAAAGAACAAGCAGAAGAAUACUCCUUUUUAAUCAUGGAAGAACUCAACCCUAAAAAUUUCGGCUACAUCACGGUACACCGUGCUUCCAAUCAUAGCCGAAAUCAUCAAGGACAUGCCUCAACAAUUGAAAGUGAGGCUUCUAGAGGAAGUGGGAGAGCAUGAUAGAGAACAGAUAUUGUCUGGUGCAAUAACAUAAAGGAUGACAACUAUUGAGGAAAUGGUGGGCUUGUAUGUGUUGUGUGGACAAUGAACAACACUAAUGAGAGCACUUUCCAAGCUCAUUUAUCUUAACAACCUAGAUCUGGUUCUUUUAGCUUGAGAGGCACUAAUCAGGUUGGGCUGUUGAUUGUAGAUGGGUACUAGAACAGCUUGCUUGCUCUGUUUGACCACUAAUGUAAGAAAUUUAGAUGGGUACUACAUCCAAAGCUAGCCUAAGUUAUUUCUUCUGGUUCAUUAAAUUUCAAGACCAGUAGCUCUCAAACUAUAGUUAACCUUUCUUUUAUUCUCUAGUUUGUGAUUAUUGUAGAUGACGAAGAA